rnacentral:rRNA from 1 species
UACGAAGGGGGCUAGCGUUGCUCGGAAUUACUGGGCGUAAAGGGCGCGUAGGCGGGUCGUUAAGUUAGAGGUGAAAGCCCGGGGCUCAACUCCGGAAUUGCCUUUAAAACUGCAUCGCUAGAAUUGUGGAGAGGUAAGUGGAAUUCCGAGUGUAGAGGUGAAAUUCGUAGAUAUUCGGAAGAACACCAGUGGCGAAGGCGACUUACUGGACACAUAUUGACGCUGAGGUGCGAAAGCGUGGGGAGCAAACAGG